rnacentral:rRNA from 1 species
AGAGUUUGAUCCUGGCUCAGAUCAACGCNNGGCGGCGUGCCUAACACAUGCAAGUCGAACGAGAAAGUGGUAGCAAUACCAUGAGUAAAGUGGCGCACGGGUGAGUAACACGUGACUAACCUACCCUGGAGUGGGGGAUAACUGAGGGAAACCUUAGCUAAUACCGCAUAAUACCCACGGGUCAAAGGAGCAAUUCGCUUCAGGAGGGGGGUCGCGGCCGAUUAGUUAGUUGGCGGGGUAAUGGCCCACCAAGACAGUGAUCGGUAUCCGGCCUGAGAGGGCGCACGGACACACUGGAACUGAAACACGGUCCAGACUCCUACGGGAGGCAGCAGUGGGGAAUUUUGCGCAAUGGGGGAAACCCUGACGCAGCAACGCCGCGUGGAGGAUGAAGUCCCUCGGGACGUAAACUCCUUUCGAUCGGGACGAUUAUGACGGUACCGGAAGAAGAAGCCCCGGCUAACUUCGUGCCAGCAGCCGCGGUAAUACGAGGGGGGCGAGCGUUGUUCGGAAUUAUUGGGCGUAAAGGGUGCGUAGGCGGUUUGGUAAGUCUUAUGUGAAAUCUAUGGGCUCAACUCAUAGACUGCAUGAGAAACUGCCGGGCUUGAGUAUGGGAGAGGUGAGUGGAAUUCCUGGUGUAGCGGUGAAAUGCGUAGAUAUCAGGAGGAACACCUGUGGCGAAAGCGGCUCACUGGACCAUAACUGACGCUGAUGCACGAAAGCUAGGGGAGCAAACGGGAUUAGAUACCCUAGUAGUCC